UUUNUAAAGAAAAUAUGAUUUCGAAGAGAGCUCAGGAAGAAUUGGAUAUCCGGGCACAACGUCAUAAGGAAAUGGUAUCCAAGGCGAUGCAUGAUCUGGGUGUGUCAGAUGAAUGAACUAUGGACAAAUCAAAAAAGAAAAAAGAUUCUCUGGUUGUUGAACCUUUUUUUUUUUGUUGUUAUAUAUUUGGAAUUUGCAACAUAAGUCCCCCCAUUGUAUAUGGCUCAAGUUUUUACUGCGCUAAGUUGAGAGAACACUUUGGACUUUUUUGGCUGAGUGUUAUGCUUCAAAAGUUGCAAUCUUGAACUGUAUAUUCUCUUUUGCACAAAAAAAAAAAAAAAAAAAAAAAAANGAACUGUAUAUUCUCUU